ensembl:lncRNA
GGGCACUCGAGGGGGCGGCCCCUCUCCAGAUUCUCUAGAGCUGUUCCUCCUCCCACCCCGGCGCGCCGCCGUCCUCGCUGCCCGCGGAAAACAGGCCUCUCCGUCCGCCCCGCGCACCUCGCAGGGCCCAAGGCUGGCGGUCAAGCCUGGGACUCGGUCACGCCUCCCUGGUCUGUAGCCCGGGGUCAAGGGAGGGGACCCGCCAGACCCUGGAACAGCCCCCUCGGACAGGCCCACUUUCCUGAAGCAAUUUCUCCUCGCAAUGCGCGGUGUCUUCCCCCAAACUCCGUGGGGCUCACAGGAUGUCAUCUCUAGGCCAGCGGGCUCUGAUCCGGAAAGUGAGAAGAAAAUUUUAACCCACCUGUCCGGUGCUGGGCAAAGGAAAGCAGGAACUGAAUGGACUUGCAGGAAGCUGACCCCGCCUUGUAAACCAACAGCACCCUAUGAAGAAAUAAGUCCCUGGAAAGGUGAAGAGAUUUGUACAAGAUCACACAACAAUUUAAUAGCAAUCAACACAAGAACUCUGGUCUUCUGGCUCCAGGACACCCUCAUUCCACUGCCACACAUUGUUUUUCAGUGAGAAAUGUCUCAUUUCAUUG